GAGCAGCCAGCUUUUCAAUCAUGGCAAGGUUCCGAUAAAUUGAAAGUUAAGGGAUGGUAAGCGUGGAACAAAAUUCUUCUUGGGAGAGCGUUCCAAGGUGGAACUGUGGGGACACAGACACAAGAUCUAUGGAUAAAAAUGGUCUUUCUGUGUAUAAUGCCAGGUUUUGGUGCACGUCAUCCUGUUCAAAGUCAUUGGCCAUAGCAUUGGACCUUCUCCAUGGAACGUUUUUCUUUAAACGUGGCAUGAAGCACAUUCAAGGCAAUACCAGAUCAUACCGCGCUGAGCGCUUUAUUACUAGAGACUUUUGGACAGAAACGUGUAAUCUAGAUUCUCUGAAUCAAUAGGCAGAUGGUAACUACUUUGCUUUUCAGUAUUUUUUCAACUGGUACACCAGAUUUAAAUAACUUGCUUCCACACAUCUGAAGAAGAAAUACUGAUAUAACUAAGCUUACCUUUGAGACAUUUACAAAUAUUUGAUUGUUUUUUUUCCCCCUGCUAUCCCUCUGUUCCAUCUUCUGCCCCCAACAAGGAACUUUAACAUUCUCUUCUGUUGAAGUAAAUAACCUUUCAUGCUACGCAGACUCUCCUGAGCAAGGAUGGGGGAUUAUUUCACUCCACCACUGAGACACACAGGGUUGCCUAGGUGAAAAGCCAGCUCUCACAUCUUCCCUCCAUACGCUUUGUUGCUGCUCUUAUCACUGAGAUAUGAGAUCGUUGUGACUUCAGGCUGGUUGGAGACUUUUAUUUUUGUUUACAAUUUGGUUCACUGAAACAACGACUGUUAGCUGCAUCCAGCUCUUAAUUUGACUUCAUGUUUUAUUAGCCGUUAUUUUCGCAAAGAUCUUAAUUCCCCUCUAAAACAUUUUAAUUAAAACAAUUAAAAGC
rnacentral:lncRNA from 7 species